GGAAUUUUCCACAAUGGGCGAAAGCCUGAUGGAGCAACGCCGCGUGAACGAUGAAGGUCUUCGGAUUGUAAAGUUCUGUUGUCAGGGACGAACAAGUACCGUUCGAACAGGGCGGUACCUUGACGGUACCUGACGAGAAAGCCCCGGCUAACUACGUGCCAGCAGCCGCGGUAAUACGUAGGGGGCAAGCGUUGUCCGGAAUUAUUGGGCGUAAAGCGCGCGCAGGCGGUCGGGUAAGUCUGAUGUCAAAGCCCGGGGCUCAACCCCGGUACGCAUUGGAAACUGCUCGACUUGAGUGCAGAAGAGGAAAGCGGAAUUCCACGUGUAGCGGUGAAAUGCGUAGAGAUGUGGAGGAACACCAGUGGCGAAGGCGGCUUUCUGGUCUGUAACUGACGCUGAGGCGCGAAAGCGUGGGAGCA
rnacentral:rRNA from 1 species